rnacentral:SRP_RNA from 1 species
AGAGAGAUGUGGGGUGGCCAUGUCACAACACGAGGACCGCAGGCCGGCAACAGAGCAGGGAGGCGGCGGCAUG